AAGAAUCUCCUGACUCGAAUUUCCCACAACACCCGUGGCCUUAUUUGCAUGAUUUUAUUAUUCUUUUCUAUUUACUUUUUUUUUUGGGAGUAAUUGAAAACAAGGUUUUGCGCACAUGAUAAUUUUAAUAGACGCCAGUGUUUUAUCAGUGACUAAAUAAUAUUAAUCUAUUAAUAGAUCGUUGUGCUAAGAAUAAAAUUAGUCUUUUAUAUAAACUCAGUUGAUUAAGCAAAAGUCUAAUGACAAAAAUGAUAACAGGACAUUAUAGCCAUAAUAUAUAUUAGAACUUUGGAUACUUAAAUACAUUUCAAGGCAAAUACUUUUGUACUUUUAUUCAAAUGAAAGUUUAAAUGGGGUCUCUGCUCCUUGGCAUUCAGAGAUUCUGAUGGGUGCAUUCUCGUUCUUUAAGUCAGUCCUUGACUUAAAGAACGAGAAUGCACCAAUGCAUUCUCUUUCUUUAACUCGUAAAGAGUGCCAUUAUGCAUAAGUUGCAUAGCACAGUGAAACUGCACAAAGAAACAACAUAACCAAUAAAUAUAACUCAUAUAGGGAAAAAUAUGAUAAACUGAAUUUCCAUGAAAAAGGAGAGAUUACACAUACAUACAUCAAGCACCUAUGUAAGUGAAAUAUUCACAGCGUAAUAUACAGUACAUCAUCACACACCUCGCUCCACUUCGCUAAAGGGCACUAAGGUGAAAAUGAGCAGACACAAGGCAAUUGCAAACAUCAAACUGUAGGAUUUAUUCUUUGAGCACCUUUAGAGGAACUUUUAGCUCUGCUGAACUGAUUACCUUUCAUUACCCCCUCCCUUCUACAUAAGACAAAUAAAAUUCUCAGAAUACAUUUAAAGUGGCAACCAUUUUUCUGUUAUUUACAAAGAGAGCAUAUUUAUGUAGUGAGGUCCUUUAUGGGGCCUUUUAUUUUAAAAUGUACUUUUGUUUUAAAAACAUAAAGAAAAGCGUAGCCCCUUUAAGAAGUAGGCCCCAGUGAGUGCAUUGCCCCUUUAAGAGGAAGUGUCCCAAUUAGCGUGAGCGAAUGAACAAACGCUUCGGAUUCCGUACGCUUAUAAAGUGUCUGAGCAGCUGUGAGGAAUGGUUGCUGCUUGAUUGUCUGUUUUUGUUUCAUCGGCAGAUUUCUUCUCUAAUCAGGCUGCGUUUAUCCUUCAUGUGCAAGUGUUGUGCAUUUAGUAAGAGGGUGAUCAGAUCUGCUCUUUGGCGGCUGGACUGUGGAUGUGCUGCUUGUUUGCCAUUUGAGUGUGGUAUUGCUGUGCAGGCCUGGUUAAACGGAGGGGAACUGCAUUUGGUCACUGCUGUCCUUCUUUACCCUUUAUUUUUGGGUUUUGUGAUUUAAUGUUUGUUUGGUGUUUUCUUUAUUUAAGGCACCCAUCAUGUUGUAUGGAUGCCGUGUUUAGCUGACUGUUAAAAAGACUAUAGGGAAUUGUUUGCAGAUAUUUUAUGGUAUGAUAACCAACUGAUUUUGUGCAUCUGUUCCUUUCCAGUGGAUCAUCUGGGAGCACUGGUUGGAUUGCGGGUGUUGGUCCUUUGAUGAUGGAAUCUGUGCUACGGUUUACACUGCAUGCUGUGUGAAUCUUAUGAGUUUACGGUGUGUGGCACUUUGCGUGGGUGUGCGUGCGUGUGUGUGUGUUGAUGUGUUUUCCUUUACAGGCACCAUUUUGGGUGAACCUUUUGGGGUUAAAGUGGGCCUGCACCUGUGGCCUGUCAGUCUUCCUUUGUAUCCACUGGAAUGUGUGGUGUUAAUUGGUAAUUGUAACAGUUGGUAUCCUUUUAAUAUGAUUCAUGUUGUAGUUUUAAAUAAAAUAAGGUAUUAAUAAUAAGGGUUUAUAUUUUAACUGAUUCUGGAAGUGUUGAGGAGGUUAAUAAAAAUCCAACACUAAAAUAAGAAA